UACUACUGAACCCUCUACUAGUACUACAUCUCUUGAGAAUACUACUACAAAACCACUCACUACUACUGCUACUGAAAAAUCAACAACCACUGUACCCACAACUACUGUGGUUUCUUCAGGAAAAACCUCAACAACUGAUUCUGCCAAUCCUUCCACUACAACUGAACAACUUACAGG